rnacentral:rRNA from 1 species
GAAAGUAAAAAAGGGCGCAUGGCGGAUGCCUUGGCUCUCGGAGGCGAUGAAGGACGUGAUAAGCUGCGAUAAGCUUUGGGGAGGUGCAAAUGACCUUUGAUCCAGAGAUUUCCGAAUGGGACAACCCAAUAUCUUGAAGAGGUAUUAUCCAACGUUGUUGGAGGCUAACGCAGGGAACUGAAACAUCUUAGUACCUGCAGGAAAAGAAAAUAAACAAUGAUUCCCUCAGUAGUGGCGAGCGAACGGGGAACAGCCCAAACCAUCCAUGUUACGGCAUGGGUGGGGUUGUAGGACUACGCCGUUGCAUGAAGACAUCAGAGAAGAACUUUCUGGAAAGAAAGACCAUAGAGCAUGACAGUUGCGUAUUCGAAUGUUGUCGAAGCAUAGUAGUAUCCUGAGUAGCGCGGAGCACGAGGAAUUCUGCGUGAAUCUGCCGGGACCAUCCGGUAAGGCUAAAUACUCCCGAGAGACCGAUAGCGAACCAGUACCGUGAGGGAAAGGUGAAAAGCACUUCGAACAGAAGAGUGAAAUAGUUCCUGAAACCGUGCGCCUACAAGCGGUCGGAGCUCGUUAAUGAGUGACGGCGUGCCUUUUGCAUAAUGAACCUACGAGUUGCCUUUGCCGGCAAGGUUAAGUGUGACGACACACGUAUCCGAAGCGAAAGCGAGUCUGAACAGGGCGUAUAGUCGGCAGUGGCAGACGCGAAACCAAGUGAUCUACCCUUGGCCAGGUUGAAGGCUGGGUAACACCAGCUGGAGGACCGCACCAAUAAGCGUUGAAAAGCUUCUGGAUGAGCUGAGGGUAGGGGUGAAAGGCUAAUCAAACUUGGAGAUAGCUCGUACUCCCCGAAAUGCAUUUAGGUGCAGCCUUGCGGGUUACUGAUGUGAGGUAGAGCGACUGAUAAGAUGCGAGGGCUUCACCGCCUAUCAAGUCUUGACAAACUCCGAAUGCGCAUCAGUUCUACCGCAGGAGUGAGGGCAUGGGUGCUAAGGUCCGUGCCCGAGAGGAGAAGAAUCCGGACCACCUGCUAAGGUCCCGAAAUGACAGCUAAGUUAAACUAACGAAGUCUGACUGCUAAGACAGCUAGGAUGUUGGCUUGGAAGCAGCCAUUCAUUUAAAGAGUGCGUAACAGCUCACUAGUCGAGGAGUCGGGCGUGGAUAAUAAUCGGGUAUGAAGUUGUCUACCGAAGCAGUGGGAUCAUUUAUAUGAUCGGUAGGGGAGCAUUCCAGUCGGCGUCGAAGGCGUACCGUGAGGUAUUCUGGAGCGUCUGGAAAAGCAAAUGUAGGUAUAAGUAACGAUAAAGGGGGCGGGAAACCCCCUCGCCGAAAGACUAAGGUUUCCUGAUCAACGCUAAUCGGAUCAGGGUCAGUCGGGUCCUAAGGCUCAGCCGAACGGCGAUGCCGAUGGCAGAAACGGUUAAUAUUCCGUUACUACCUUCAGGAGUGACGUGGAGACGCAGUAGUGACAGUGCCGCCAUCUGACGGAAUAGAUGGUUGAAGGGUGUAGGAGUCGAUCAUGGCAGGCAAAUCCACCAUGAGAUCCGAACCUGACAGUAUGCCGCGUCCUUCGGGACAAGGCAAUAGUGCGCGUAAGCAUGCUGCCGAGAAAAUCCGCUAAACUUAAUCCUGCAGGUACCCGUACCGCAAACGGACACACGUAGUCGGGAUGAAUAUUCUAAGGCGCUUGAGUGAUUCACGGUUAAGGAACUAGGCAAACUGACCCUGUAACUUCGGGAUAAAGGGUCCCUACCCUUUUAUGGGAGGGCGCAGAGAAUCGGUCCAGGCAACUGUUUAACAAAAACACAGGGCUGUGCCAAAUCGAAAGAUCCAGUAUACAGCCUGACACCUGCCCGGUGCUGGAAGGUUAAGAGGAGAUGUCAUCGAUAAGAGAAGCGUUGAAUUGAAGCCCCAGUAAACGGCGGCCGUAACUAUAACGGUCCUAAGGUAGCGAAAUUCCUUGUCGGGUAAGUUC